UCCGCGCAGCGCACGCCAAGCCGCUGCUUAUCCGGAGCCGGAGCGGACUCUUCUCUUCUAGAGACUGGUCAACUCUGCGGCGGCGGGGCGCACAGGGGAGGAGCUUCCUCUCUCCAACCUGGCCCUCCCAGGCGCUGCCAGCCACCCGAGCCCGCCUUUCGGAGCUCCUCCCUCCCCAGACUUCUCACGCGACGUCAGCGGCGGAUGCCGAGGCGGGGAUGAGGGCCACUGGCCCGCGAUCCUCCCAGCGAGGCUCCGGCCUCGGCCUCAGGCCCGAGAUCUCCGCCUUGUGGCGACCAGACGACGUGUGCCACACCGGCGGGGCUCGGGCGGGGGCUUGGGAGUGGGGAAGUGAGCCAGGGGCGCUCAAUUUGUCUUCUCUCCCCGCAACCCACAAGGUUGGAAAGGUUUUCUUGUGGGGAAAUUUCCUCUCCGCAGCUUCACACUCAGUCAGCGGACCCUCCCACCCAGGAGGAAUCUCCCCUGGUCCCAUCGGCGCGUCUUCCGGGAGUCGCCAAACACCAGACAGAGGUAGCGGGGUGGGUGUGGCAGCUGCCAUUUCCUGCGCGGAAAGCCCUUUGAGGACGUGCGGUGGUGACUUACUAGGGCUCCGCGCUUCUCAGCCCGGUGAAUCAGACAGAGAUUGAAAAGUAACCUUGAGAGAGUCCCUCCCUUGAUUCCAGGGAAAGUUACUAGAGGAUGUGCUCCAACGAAACAUGAGAGCAAGACAAGAAAGAGAAAGAUGUGGGAUCCAGAAAAAAGGACCAGGAGAAUGUGACGGGAAAUUCCAGGGUGAAAGAUAUGUGGCAGAAUUAGAGAGCAGUCGUUUUCACCAGAGAAGGAAGAUGGCAGACUCCAAGAAGAAAGACUGCAAAGUGAAUCAGCUAUAUGUAUACAUAUAAUGUCCAUGGACAGAGGAAUGGAUAAAAAAGAUGUGGUAUAUAUAUACAAUGGAAUGUUAUUCAGCCAUAAAAAGGAAUGAAAUUGGGUCAUUUGUAGAGACGUGGAUGGAGCCAGAGACUGUCAUAAAGAGUGAACAGCAGUGCCUCCCGUUUCUUGUCCUACACCUGGUCACUACCAUGUCCUGUACCGCGGGUGUGGAGAAACGCAGUUGGGCUGGCACGGGGAGACAUACUGCCUGGUUGGUGGCUACCGGCUCUACGGGGAUGUUCCUUUGGCCACGCCAGCUAAGGUAGAAGCAGAGAAGCCAGUCCCCAGACGUGCUCCGAAGAGAAAGCACUCUCUGGAAUGGUCGGACGAAGACCUGGGUUGCCCCAGACCCAAAAUCCGGCGAUUGGAGCUUUCAAGCAGCACAGGAAUACAAGAUGCUCCUUUGGCCACGCCAGCCAAGGUGGAAGCAGAGAAGCCAGUCCCCAGACGUGCUCCGAAGAGAAAGCACUCUCCGGAAAUGCCGGACGAAGACCUGGGUUGCUCCAGACCCAAAAUCCGGCAAUUGUAGCAUGGUGCCAGGAGGCGGACCCCACAGAAUCUUGCAGGGGCCCCUUUGUGAGCUGAAGAAAGAAAAGUCUAGAAAAAACGGAUAGCUGCGAGGGGAAGAUGGCAGAAGAGUAAGACACGGAGAUCACCUUCCUCUCCACAAAUACACCAGAAAUACAUCUACACGUGGAACAACUCCUACAGAACACCUACUGAAUGCUGGCAGAAGACCUCAGACCUCCCAAAAGGCAAGAAACUCCCCCACAUACCUGGGUAGGGCAAAAGAAAAAAAGAAAAAACAGAGACAAAAGAAUAGGGACGGGACCUGCACCAGUGGGAGGGAGCUGUGAAGGAGAAGAGGUUUCCACACACUAGGAAGCCCCUUCGCGGGAGGAGAGUGCGCGUGGCGGAGGGGGGAAGCUUUGGAGCCGUGGAGGAGAGCACAGCCACAGGGGUGCGGAGGGCAAAGCGGAGAGAUUCCCGCACAGAGGAUAGGUGCCAACUGGCACUCACCAGCCCGAGAGGUUUGUCUGCUCAGCUGCGGGGGUGGGCGGGGCUGCAAGCUGAGGCUCGGGCUUUAGUCAGAGCGCAGGGAGAGGACUGGGGUUGGUGGAGUGAACAUAGCCUGAAGGGGUUAGUGCAGCACGGCUAGCCGGGAGGGAGUCCGGGAAAAGAUCUGGAGCUGCCGAAGAGGCAAGAGACUUUUUCUUCCCUCUUUGUUUCCUGCUGCGCGAGGAGAGGGGAUUGAGAGCGCUGCUUAAAGGAGCUCCAGAGACGGGCGCGAGUCGUGGCUAAAAGCGCGGACCCCAGAGACGGGCAUGAGACGCUAAGGCUGCUGCUGCCGCCGCCACCAAGAAGCCUGUGUGCGAGCACAGGUCACUAUCCACACCCCGCCUCCGGGGAGCCUGUGCAGCCCGCCACAGCCAGGUUCCCGGGAUCCAGGGACAACUUCUCCGGGAGAACGCACGGUGAGCCUCAGGCUGGUGCAAAGUCACGCCAGCCUCUCGCGCCGCAGGCUCGCCCCGCACUCUGUGCCCCUCCCUCCCCCCGGCCUGAGAGAGCCAGAGCCCCCGAAUCAGCGGCUCCUUUAACCCCGUCUUGUCUGAGUGAAAAACAGACGCCCUCCAGCGACCUACACGCAGAGGCGGGGCCAAAUCCAAACCUGAGCCCCUGGGAGCUGUGAGAACAAAGAAGAAAAAGGGAUAUCUCUCCCAGCAGCCUCAGAAGCAGCGGAUUAAAGCUCCACAAUCAACUUGAUGUACCCUGCAUCUGUGGAAUACAUGAAUAGACAACGAAUCAUCCCAAAUUGAGGAGGUGGACUUUGAGAGCAAGAUUUAUCAUUUUUUCUCCUUUAUCUCCUUUUCUGAGUGUGUAUGUGUAUGCUUCUCUGUGAGAUUUUGCCUGUAUAGCUUUGCUUCCACCAUUUGUCCUAGGGUUCUGUCUGUUUUUUUUCAAAAUUUUUUUCUUAAUAAUUAUUUUUAUUUUAAUAACUUUAUUUUAUACUACUUUAUCGUCUUUCUUUCUUUCUUUCUUUCUUUCUUUCUUUCUUUCUUUCUUUCCUUCCUUCCUUCCUUCGUUCCUUCCCUCAUUUAGACAAAGAAUCAUCCCAAAUUGAGGAGGUGGACUUUGAAAGCAAGAUUUAUGAUUUUUUCCCCAGUCCUCUUUUUGUGAGUUUGUAAGUGUACGCUUCUGUAUGAGAUUUUGUCUGUAUAGCUCUGUUUCCGCCAUUUAUCCAAAGGUUCUAUGCGUUCGUUUUUUUUUCUUAAUAAGUAGUUUUUAAUUUAAUAACUUUAUUAUAUUUUACUUUACUUUAUUUUACUUUAUCUUCUUUCUUUCUUUCCUUCUUCCUUCCCUCCUCCCUUCCUUCCCUCCUCUCUUCCUUCCUUCCUUCCUCCCACCAUCCCUCCCUCCCUCCAUUCUUUUUUCUUUUUUUUCUUUCUUUCUUUCUUUCCUUCUUUCCUUCUUUUCUUCUUUCUUUCUUCCUUCCUUAAAUUAAAUUCAAUAUAGAUAUUUAAAUUUAAGGUAAAAUUAAAUUAUAAUUUGAAAUUAUAUGUGGAGUUUUAUUUCCUUAAGAAUAUUUUGGAAAUUUCUACUCCUAUUUUAACUUAUAUUUUCAGAGAAGGUAUUUGGUCCAAAUGAAGAAUAUCUUCAAUUAUUGUUCUUCUAUUGCAAGCAAAAAAGGAUUUAUACUUCUUUUCAUGAAAUAUGGUUGUUUGACAACAGAAGAAUAAAUAUUUUAUAUUUUUAGAAACAA